rnacentral:lncRNA from 1 species
AUUAUAUCGUCUCAUUUGUAUUUACCAACAAGGAUUAUAAGAAUAUGUAAUGCCUGUGUUUUUUUUUUUU